CCCUUAGAUGUUCUGGGCGGCCCGCGCACUACAUUGGCACUGGCAACAAGAUCCUAGAUCUGAUAUUUCGGGGUAUUCUACCAACUGGUGUCGUGACUGGGAUUAACCCCUGCAAUUAUUGGUUAUGAACGAGGAAUUCCUUGUAAUCACGGUUUAUCAACCCGUGUUGAAUGCGUCCCUGCCCUUUGUACACACCGCCCGUCGCUCCUACCGAUGAAUCGUCCGGUGAAGUUCAUGGAGUCGCUGCUGCUCCAGCGGUUUUCGAAGUGAAAUGGACCUCAUGAUUUAGAGGAAGGAGAAGUCGUAACA
rnacentral:rRNA from 1 species